rnacentral:rRNA from 1 species
UCAGAUGAACGCUGGCGGCAGGCCUAACACAUGCAAGUCGAACGGUAACAGGAAGAAGCUUGCUCUUGCUGACGAGUGGCGGACGGGUGAGUAAUGUCUGGAAACUGCCUGAUGGAGGGGGAUAACUACUGGAAACGGUAGCUAAUACCGCAUAACGUCGCAAGACCAAAGAGGGGGACCUUCGGGCCUCUUGCCAUCGGAUGUGCCCAGAUGGGAUUAGCUAGUAGGUGGGGUAACGGCUCACCUAGGCGACGAUCCCUAGCUGGUCUGAGAGGAUGACCAGCCACACUGGAACUGAGACACGGUCCAGACUCCUACGGGAGGCAGCAGUGGGGAAUAUUGCACAAUGGGCGCAAGCCUGAUGCAGCCAUGCCGCCGUGUAUGAAGAAGGCCUUCGGGUUGUAAAGUACUUUCAGCGGGGAGGAAGGGAGUAAAGUUAAUACCUUUGCUCAUUGACGUUACCCGCAGAAGAAGCACCGGCUAACUCCGUGCCAGCCGCGGC